UACGUAGGGCGCAAGCGUUGUCCGGAAUUAUUGGGCGUAAAGAGCUCGUAGGCGGUCUGUUACGUCCGCUGUGAAAACCCAGGGCUUAACCCUGGGCUUGCAGUGGAUACGGGUAGACUAGAGGCAGGUAGGGGAGAAUGGAAUCCCGGUGUAGCGGUGAAAUGCGCAGAUAUCGGGAGGAACACCGGUGGCGAAGGCGGCAUCCUGGACCGGCAUUGACGCUGAGGCGCGAAAGCCAGGGGAGCAAAGCGGG
rnacentral:rRNA from 1 species